GUCACUCGCGUCGCUUGCUCGCGUUUCUCGCGUUGACUAUGAAUCGGCCCUUAGAGUUGCUUCAGGCGGCGCCCUGUUAACGUUGGUCCGUCAUUGUUAUCGCUCCGGUAAGCGGUGGUUCUUUGUGUAUCAAUUUAAGCCAUGAUUUCAAUGAAAUUUGUUCUUUAUGCACAUCUUUACAACGGUGUAGGUGGCGGCAAGUUAGUCAUUUAAGUUUUCAUGCUUUGUCUUCGAGUUGCCUGAGAAGGGUAAGACGAACGCAAGUUUUUUUUUCCUCGACAGUGCAAUCGCUCUGGCAGCUGCUUAGGUUGCUCCAAACUGGUCAGUUCAGGUUUCCUGUUUCGUCUUCGAGUUGCAUGAGAAGUGUCAGACGAGCGCAAGUUUUUUUUUUUUUUUUCUGGACAGUGCAAUUGCUCUGGCAGCUGAUUAGGUGGCUCCCAACUGGUCAGUUCAACCUCUCCUGCUUCGUCUUCGAGAAGUCUUUUAGUCAUUCGGUGGCUUUUUUUUCCAGACAGUAUCAUGACUUAGGUUGAUGCAGUGCAAGAUAUGCAGAUUUGAACACCCUGCCCAGGAGGUCCUUUUGAAACAUGACCAAUUGUGCCACUACCAGGGAAGAUACUGCCAACUACCCUGCCUCUACACAGAUUGCAUCUGCUCCUUUAAAACCACUGGUUGACGCCUCACCUUUUAAGAUCACACAAGUGCUUAUCUUCACGUGAGAGUCACUUAACAUUGAAUGGUGAAUUGUGUGACUUAAAGGAAAUUUGUAAAACACCCUAUUACUCCAAACAUAUAAGGAGCCAUUUUUUAAAAAUCAUGAAACUUUAAGGUGCCCUUUUAGCCAGUGUGGUUUUUGAAACACAUCUGAUUUCAUCAUCCAGUGGUCAAAAUCAUUGCAGCUUUUCCAUUACAGACUUUAAAGCAAAUAUCAUUAUUCAAAAUGCAGAACCAAAAGACAGCGAGCCACAAACUGUUGUUAUGCACACACUUUUAUCACCAUUGCAGUUAAUUUUAUAUUGCUUGUGAUAGAUAUGAAGGACAGAUAUGGAAGCCAAUACAUGUUUGACUGGACCCGUUGUUAUUUUUGCACAUUAUUUUGGACUUGAAUUUUGUGAUAGUUAAUUUAAUUGGGAAAGCAUCAAAUAAAAACUGAGUAGAAGUUUUUAAUUUUGCAACACAAAUGUGACAAAUAAGCUCUUAACUUGAAAAAAACUUUCUAUUGUAUUUAAUUUUAUUGCGAAUGAAAUGACUUGAUUUGGUUUGUGAUUUAAACUUGCUGUU